AAAACUUGGUGAUUAAUUUUAUAUGUUAUGCCAAAUAAUUAAAUGCUUAUCAUUUAUGUUUGUUUUAAGAAUUAUCUUUUCAAAGGAGUCUUUUAAGAGGAGAUAACUCUUUCAGUAAAAAAAAUUAUACUGGACUAAUAGGUUUUUUUUGUGUUUUUUUUUACUUGUAGCAAAAAUAUGCGACUACUACAAAAGUACAGUUAAUUUGGGAAAAAAAUAAAUACCAUGUGUAUUGCUCAACUUUAUAUCAGGGCAUCUUCUAUUCUGUCUUUCUGUUAUUAUUUCUUCAGGUCCACUUUGAGCUUCAUCCACUGAAACAAAGAAUGAAGAUUGAAGUCUUGCAGUGUAAUUUAUCUCCCUUGGAAAUUCAUGGUCAAUGCUGUGUCCAUCACUCGAUCCUGUGUCAUCUUCUGGAAAAGUAAAGAAAGCAAUUUCAUCAUAACUGAUUAGAUGUGCUGAAAUGAUGUAAAUUAGGUCCACAGUCUUGUGAAUGAUUUUCAUGUGGGCCAUCUAAAAAUUCAACAUGACCUUCUGAUGUCUUCCACCAUACAUUGAUACCAACUUCAAGAAAAUCAGAAAUUCUUUGACAGUGUGCUUGUAUUAGACGGUGUCUGGAAGCAAUUAACUGACCGGGAAUGAUGGAGUUUCCUCUGGGAGGAAGCAAACGAGCUUGCUGGCUGAUGGCUGAAUCCUGAUGUUCAAAAGAAUCAAUUUGGUCUUCACUGUCCUGCUUUGCUAAAAAUCUCAAGACACAGUUAUCAACAACAUAUUUGGCUUGUCGGUUACUGGUUCUGACAGAGAUAGAUCUAAGAUCUCCAAAUGUCCUUUCCUGGUUUUCUGGAAGAAGGGACCUUAAGCAAAAUAGUCGAUACAUUUCAGGAAAAUGAACUGUGAAGCUGUGGAAGUGUGAGCCAUAAAAUUUUCCUUUUGUAAGUUUCUUAGGGUUGAUGAUGACAUAUUUGAUCAAAAUGGCAAAAAGAAAGCAUUGGUUAUAUAAUCUUAAAACCUGCUUUUGUGUCCUUUCAUUUGAACGACUGUAACAAAUGGUAAUGAUUUCUACAAGGCUGUUGCAGAUUGUCAGGAUGUCAGCAUUAACAAGACCAUCUUCGUAAUUCAUAUUAGUGAAGUGAGCUAGCUUGAUAGCGUAUAAGCGUGCAUUGCUGGCUUUCAAUUCAUUUUUGUCACCCACAGUAACUUCAAAGAACCUCAGGUAUUCUUUUUGAAUGUUGUCAUCAAGGUGGUAUGGCAAUUCAGUUAUCAAGUUUUGAACAACAUUCACAAUGUCGUGAAGUGGCUCACAGUUGGAAAUUUCAUAUUGUUCUAAAUUUUCGGUGGUACAUGUAUUGUCAAAAUUGGGACAAAACAAGGCAGGUGGUCUCUGUAUUCCAUGUAGUGUCUCUGUAAGAAGUGUUUUCAGUUCAGGUUUUUUUAAGUUGUAAAUAUCAAGGUUUCUGUAAUCUAGCUCAUCAGUAAGGGUUUCCUUGGUUAAAUUUACAAAGGGGUUGAUGUUGUUCUGCAUGUUGAAAGUUUUCCACAGAGUACCAGCUUUAAAAAGAUCAAGACGUUGUUGUAAAGAUUGAGUUUUCUGGAUAAAAGCUGCUUCAAAAUUUGUGUGGUUCACUGCAGCUAAGCCACAGAUACAUCGGUAAUUGCCUCCCCUUUGCUGUCCACACUCAAAUUGUCGGGCAGGAUUGUCCCCAGUGAAAAUCCUGACUAUGUCAUAGACCUUUAAACCAUCGGGAGCAAUUGAUGGAGUGCUUAGAUCUUUAAGGUCCUCCACCCUUGUCGUACUGUAUGACAUCUGGUCAGAAUCGCUACUCUUUGACUGACCAAAUAUGUAGAGCUUUGGCUUUUCAACAAUGCUUUGUACAUCAAUAGCUUUUUGAUCAGGGUAUUUUUCAGUGUAUUCCUCAUUUGUAAGAUAGAUAUUUUCAUCGAACAAACAGGAAACCAUUAUCAAAAAGUAUGGCCUACUCAAGAUGCCAGAAUGGUCAUGCCACAAUUUCAAAUGACGAUGGAUGGUGUUGGCAGACGCCCUGAAAAAACCCAUUUCAGACUGUUCAUUUGUCAGCUUCUGACAUAACUGGUGAAGGGGAAAUUUUCUGCCAUAAACUGUCACAAUCUUUUCUACCAAUUCACCAGUGGUUGUUAUGUUAUUGGAUUUAAAGACUUUAGGAGCAACUGCAACACCUAUAUCCAAGUCGCCAGUCUGUAAUAGUUCCCUUACUUCUUUCUUAAGUUGUUUGGCUGGUCUUGGUGUUGGUGUUGAGAGACGUUUACAUAAUAUGUGUUUAGCCCUACGAACUCGCCUGAAGUAAUCCCUGCCGCUUAUUCUUUUAGUUUCAUUAAAUUUUUUAACUUCAACUCCUUCAGAUUUUGCAAAUUGGUAUAAAACCUGACCUCCAUUGAGUGGAAAUUUAUGAUAAGCGUUUUUGACCUGAUAUUUUCUUGAUAAUUCGGUCCAGUUUACGUUUGAUUUUGCAGGAAGUGAUUUGAUUUCAUUAAUGAACUUAUUCUUGUCGAAUUCAUAAUUGUUUAUGUUUCCUAUACUUUUUCUCUGUUUUUUUAUUUUUUUGGCCUCUUCUCUGAAUCUUUUAGCUAGGUUUUGUUUUGCUUUGGACUUACUAAUAAAAAAUGUUCCCAAUCUUUCUCUUUCAUAUUCACUAUAUGAUUUUGUUGAUGCUAGAAAGUUUCUAACUUUAUUAUCUGCAUUUAGUAGGUUGGACAUUUCUUCUUUUUGUUUUGAUAGUACAGAUUUUAUUUCUUUUUCUUUUUCUCCUGAAGUCAACUUUGGUGUUAGUUUAUAAUUUUUGCAAAUUACGUCUGUAAAAUUACUUCCAGUUUUCUUUUCUAUGUACGGGACAAUUGUUUUCACAACUUUAAUCAUUUUGCCAUCAUUGUUAGUUUUUGAAGUGUUGCAAACUGUUGUUGUAAGUUGAGUGCAUAAUUGGUCGAUAUCAUUUGUUGUUUGUGGUGCACUGGCAGCAUGCAGAGACGUGUGGAAGGCAUCGGAUUUACAAAUAUUGCAAUCUUUUUGCUGAUGGCCUUUUCUUUCAAUUUCACUGAGUUUACACCAGUUUUUCAGGUUAUAUUUUUCUAUGAAGAGAGUUUUUUCGCCUGAUUUGUUACAAUUUUUCCAAUAUUUUGUCUUUGUAAGAUAAAUUUGCACCCGAGGGACUCUAGAUUUGAACUCGGCUAAUGGUAUAUACAUUUUGGGGUAUUUAUUCAUUAUAACAUGAUAAUUGUUAUAUCUUUGAAAUACAUUUAUGUUUUGACUGUGGUUAGGCACGGUUGUAUAAAUUGAGUUUUCUCUGGAAUUUUCAACUUGCUUAUUGUUCCACCAUUUCAGAUUAUCUGGGUCUUUGGUUGAUCUAGCCAAGAUCACCUUUGCAUAGUUGCACAUAUUCAUGUUUGCAGGUUAUUUGUCAAAAGAUUGUUGAAACAUUGUGUCAAAUUUUAAAAUAUGUUGUGUCCUCCAUGAUGAUUUCAGCUAUUUUUUUGUUUAUAGAUUAUAUUUAUAUAUGUAUUGAAUCUUAAAAAAAGAAUGUUGUGCAUUUUCACAGAAAUAAAAAUAAAACUGAUCAAUGGCAUUC